UACGUAGGGUGCAAGCGUUGUCCGGAAUUAUUGGGCGUAAAGAGCGCGUAGGCGGUUCGUCGAGUCGGGUGUGAAAUCCCGAGGCUCAACCUCGGGUCUGCAGUCGAUACGGGCGGACUGGAGUUCGGCAGGGGAGACUGGAAUUCCUGGUGUAGCGGUGAAAUGCGCAGAUAUCAGGAGGAACACCGGUGGCGAAGGCGGCUGUCUGGCCCAAUACUGACACUCAGGUGCGACAGCGUGGGGAGCAAACAGG
rnacentral:rRNA from 1 species